AAGUCGUAACAAGGUUUCCGUAGGUGAACCUGCGGAAGGAUCAUUAAAACGUAUCCAACGUUAACUAAUUGUGAACUCGUCUCCUCCCUUAGCAAUCGAGAAAUUGGAACUGUGAUCGGCAUUGAGUGGGAUCUCCUUUGUGAGACCGGUCAGUCACAGCCACUGCACAUCUUUUUUGGAUGUGUGACAAUAGUAUCUUUCGUUAAGGAUUCUUUCCUCUUGUUCUUUCAUCCUCCACUCAAGGAUGGGAAUUUGAGGAGUGUAUACUAACCAUUAUCACCCCCUUUUUUGCUAGUUGACUUUUUUAAUGUUGAUGUCUACGAAAGUAGAUGUUACACGUUUCAUAUUAUUUGAACGUAAAAUACAACUCUUAGCAAUGGAUAUCUAGGUUCUC
rnacentral:misc_RNA from 1 species